rnacentral:rRNA from 1 species
GACAGAGGAUGCAAGCGUUAUCCGGAAUGAUUGGGCGUAAAGCGUCUGUAGGUGGCUUUUCAAGUCCGCCGUCAAAUCCCAGGGCUCAACCCUGGACAGGCGGUGGAAACUACCAAGCUGGAGUACGGUAGGGGCAGAAGGAAUUUCCGGUGGAGCGGUGAAAUGCAUUGAGAUCGGAAAGAACAACCAACGGCGAAAGCAGCUCUAGCUGGGCCGACACUGACACUGAGAGACGAAAGCUAGGGGAGCAA